AUCAUAAACGUAGUCUUCUGUGCAUGAUUUAAACUUGAGGUUUCAUAUGACACAGAUUUCGUUUUUGAACAAAUUAACCUUGAAUCUCAUCCAAAUUUUGAAAAUGGUCCCUUUAUGUGUUCAUACAUGACCUAUUGCAAUUAAGCCCCUUACACAAAAUACUCUUCUAUCCCCAGUGAUGCAAGUAAGACUGUCAUUCUAGGUGAUCACCUUUAAGAUACAUGUACAAAUUAACUGAUUUAUCGUUUAUACAAUAAUGUAAUUGAUUUUGUCUUAAUAUCCAUGGAAUACUUGUCACUGGACGUUAAACAAAUUGACGAUAUAAUCCAAAAUCAAUCCAAAAAUAGUUUCCU
rnacentral:lncRNA from 1 species